AUACGUAGGGGACAAGCGUUAUCCGGAUUUACUGGGUGUAAAGGGAGCGUAGGCGGCCAGCCAAGUCAGAAGUGAAAUCCCACGGCUCAACUGUGGGCGUGCUUUUGAAACUGGAGGGCUUGAGCACUGGAGGGGCAAGCGGAAUUCCUGGUGUAGCGGUGAAAUGCAUAGAUAUCAGGAAGAACACCGGAGGCGAAGGCGGCUUGCUGGACAGAGACUGACGCUGAGGCUCGAAGGCGUGGGGAGCAAACAGGAUUAGAUACCCUGGUAGUCCACGCGGUAAACGAUGAAUGCUAGGUAUUGGGUUCCAUAGGGACUCGGUGCCGCAGUUAACGCAAUAAGCAUUCCACCUGGGGAGUACGUUCGCAAGAAUGAAACUCAAAUGAAUUGACGGGG
rnacentral:rRNA from 1 species